AUACGGAGGGGGCUAGCGUUGUUCGGAUUUACUGGGCGUAAAGCGCACGUAGGCGGUAUAUCAAGUUAGGCGUGAAAGCCCCGGGCUCAACCCGGGAACUGCGCUUAUUACUGAUAAACUAGAGUCCGGGAGAGGGUGGCGGAAUUCCCAGUGUAGAGGUGAAAUUCGUAGAUAUUGGGAAGAACACCAGUUGCGAAGGCGGCCACCUGGACCGGUACUGACGCUGAGGUGCGAAAGCGUGGGGAGCAAACAGGAUUAGAAACCCCGGUAGUCC
rnacentral:rRNA from 1 species